rnacentral:rRNA from 1 species
CAGCAGCCGCGGGAAUACGUAGGGUGCAAGCGUUAAUCGGAAUUACUGGGCGUAAAGCGUGCGCAGGCGGUUUGUUAAGACAGAUGUGAAAUCCCCGGGCUCAACCUGGGAACUGCAUUUGUGACUGGCAAGCUAGAGUCUGGCAGAGGGGGGUGGAAUUCCGCGUGUAGCAGUGAAAUGCGUAGAUAUGCGGAGGAACACCGAUGGCGAAGGCAGCCCCCUGGGCCAACACUGACGCUCAUGCACGAAAGCGUGGGGAGCAAACAGGAUUAGAUACCCCCGUAGUCCCUGUCUCUUAUAC